rnacentral:lncRNA from 10 species
GGCAGAGGUUGCAGUAAGCCGAGAUCGCACCACUGCACUCCAGCCUGGGCAACAGAGUAAGACUCUGUCUCAAAAGAAAAGAGAAAAAAAAAAGUGAGAUACAGAUACAGACAGGGCUCAACACCUUCCAGGCAUUCCAGGCAAAUCAUUCAGAGAUGGAGGUGGGAGGAGAGGUGAGUACUGUAUGAACAGAGGCAGCAGGGGAGGGAACAGACAGAGAUGAGAGUUUGAGAGACCCUGAGAGCCAGGGUGUUGGCAGAACCUCCUCAACACA